AAAUAUGAGUUGAAAAAAAAAGGAUGAAUGUUUAAGCAAUCUUACUGUGAUGAAGGCCCUUCUAAAACAUACUACAACUUGUAACACAGAAGCCACAAAAAAGGCCAAUACAUUUGUCUCAUUAAAAUUAAGGCAGAAAACUCCCAAAGUGACUAAAUGGAGACAAUGUGUGGAACACACACGGCAGACUGUGGUGCACAGACUCUAAGGUUGUCACCCGACGGGCCCCACCUCCUGGAGUUCACGUUCUGCUGAAAUUCUCUGCCCGUGAGUGAGGGCAGACCUGUCACCUGCUUCUCGUCAACAGGAUGUCAUGACAGACUAUUGCUCCUGUGAUUAUGUUAUGUAUUUAUAAGACCGCCUUGUUAGCAGUGCUGCUAGAGAGACUCUUCGUCCGGAAGAAAUCAGCUGCCAUGAAGUCAGAGGCUAUGCUGGAGAAGCCCACAGGGCAACAAAGUUGGGGGGGGGCUCAUAGGAGUUGGGGAACAGGGGCAUCUCUGGCAAGAAGGUGAUGCUUUUGUCCUGCAAGCACAGCGACAGCAAUUCUGCCAACUACCUGGAGGAGCUCAGAAGCAUAUUCCCAGCUCGGCCUCCAAGGAGACCACCGCCCCAGUCAGUAUGUGGACUGCAGCUGGGGAGACCCUCACUAGACAGUCCAAACAAGCUGUAGCCAGACUCGGGACCUGCAGAAACUGUCAGAUAAUAAAAGGCUGGCAAAGACAAAAAGGAUGGGUGCAACUUGAACAGACAACAGACAUUUCCCUAAAGAUGAUGCAGAAACGACCAGCAAGCAUCACUGCGCAUUACGGAAUUGCAAAUCGACCAAAGCGAGAAACUGUUAAGAAUUUCACCGAGGAAAGAGUAAGAGAUCAUGCCGAUGUGCGCACGUCCCUUCCCGUCUCCAUAUUGAGGCUCUACCCCAGGAAGGUCAAGUUGGAAGACAAAGCCACAUAAGAUACAGCUUCAUGAAAAGAAAAAGUAGUCUCAGAGUGGCACCUGUCGGAAAGGCCCUGGAGACAAACCAGCUGUGUCCUAGCAGCUGUGUAGAAGCUUCACACGCUCCUGUAAUCGCAGGGACAUAUGAUCCAUAUCUCCUUUUCAGUUUUUUGCUCAACGCCUCCUCAGGUACCGAACCAGGCCCUUCCUACCGUCAUCCCAUGGAAGCAUCGCUACGGCCCUAUGACACGGUCCUACUACCAUCCCCAUCUUACGCUCCUGAAUGCGUAGCUCACAAAGGGGGAAGAAGGCUUGGAACCCAAGCUGUCUAAACCCUAUGGCCAUACUCUAACCAUUCCUGCUUUGGGCGUCUCCUUACUGUUCUAAUCUGUGUGUCAUGGCUUAGAGCGACAACAAACACACUCCCAAAGGUUUCUUUGCUGGGUGGACUUCCUAGCACCUGAUUUUUCUGUCCCUGGCAAACACUAACAAGUCCAAAGGCUCAGACAUAGCUUGAGAGCUGCCAUUUCAGAGCCAUGGUUUUGACAAUGAGCAAGACAGUAAAAGCAGAUGAAUGAAUGAAUGAAUGAAUGAGUGAAUGA